rnacentral:tRNA from 1 species
UUAGCAGGCAGGCGGGGCGCUGCAUUCGCAUUGCAGAGGUCACCGGUUCGAAUCCGGUACGGUCCA